rnacentral:rRNA from 1 species
GACAGAGGGUGCAAACGUUGUUCGGAUUUACUGGGCGUAAAGCGUGUGUAGACGGCUUCGCAAGUUGGAUGUGAAAGCCCACGGCUCAACCGUGGAAGCGCAUCCAAAACUGCGUCGCUCGAGUCUCGGAGAGGAAGGUGGAAUGCUUGGUGUAGAGGUGAAAUUCGUAGAUAUCAAGCAGAACACCUGCGGCGAAGGCGGCCUUCUGGACGAUGACUGACGCUGAGACACGAAAGCGUGGGGAGCAAACAGG